GGGCGUAUAGUCUAGUGGUAUGAUUUCCGCUUUGCAUGCGGAAGGUCCUGGGUUCAAUCCCCAGUGCGUCCA
rnacentral:tRNA from 1 species